UAUGGGUUGUAAACUGCUUUUAUAAGGGAAUAAAGUGAGUCUCGUGAGACUUUUUGCAUGUACCUUAUGAAUAAGGACCGGCUAAUUCCGUGCCAGCAGCCGCGGUAAUACGGAAGGUCCGGGCGUUAUCCGGAUUUAUUGGGUUUAAAGGGAGCGUAGGCCGGAGAUUAAGCGUGUUGUGAAAUGUAGACGCUCAACGUCUGCACUGCAGCGCGAACUGGUUUCCUUGAGUACGCACAAAGUGGGCGGAAUUCGUGGUGUAGCGGUGAAAUGCUUAGAUAUCACGAAGAACUCCGAUUGCGAAGGCAGCUCACUGGAGCGCAACUGACGCUGAAGCUCGAAAGUGCGGGUAUCGAACAGGAUUAGAUACCCUGGUAGUCCGCACGGUAAACGAUGGAUGCCCGCUGUUGGUCUGAAUAGGUCAGCGGCCAAGCGAAAGCAUUAAGCAUCCCACCUGGGGAGUACGCCGGCAACGGUGCAACUCAAAGGAAUUGACGG
rnacentral:rRNA from 1 species